AGAGUUUGAUCAUGGCUCAGAUUGAACGCUGGCGGCAGGCCUAACACAUGCAAGUCGAACGGUAACAGGAAACAGCUUGCUGUUUCGCUGACGAGUGGCGGACGGGUGAGUAAUGUCUGGGAAACUGCCUGAUGGAGGGGGAUAACUACUGGAAACGGUAGCUAAUACCGCAUAACGUCGCAAGACCAAAGAGGGGGACCUUCGGGCCUCUUGCCACCAGAUGUGCCCAGAUGGGAUUAGCUAGUAGGUGGGGUAACGGCUCACCUAGGCGACGAUCCCUAGCUGGUCUGAGAGGAUGACCAGCCACACUGGAACUGAGACACGGUCCAGACUCCUACGGGAGGCAGCAGUGGGGAAUAUUGCACAAUGGGCGCAAGCCUGAUGCAGCCAUGCCGCGUGUAUGAAGAAGGCCUUCGGGUUGUAAAGUACUUUCAGCGGGGAGGAAGGGAGUAAAGUUAAUACCUUUGCUCAUUGACGUUACCCGCAGAAGAAGCACCGGCUAACUCCGUGCCAGCAGCCGCGGUAAUACGGAGGGUGCAAGCGUUAAUCGGAAUUACUGGGCGUAAAGCGCACGCAGGCGGUUUGUUAAGUCAGAUGUGAAAUCCCCGGGCUCGACCUGGGACCUGCAUCUGAUACUGGCAAGCUUGAGUCUCGUAGAGGGGGGUAGAAUUCCAGGUGUAGCGGUGAAAUGCGUAGAGAUCUGGAGGAAUACCGGUGGCGAAGGCGGCCCCCUGGACGAAGACUGACGCUCAGGUGCGAAAGCGUGGGGAGCAAACAGGAUUAGAUACCCUGGUAGUCCACGCCGUAAACGAUGUCGACUUGGAGGUUGUGCCCUUGAGGCGUGGCUUCCGGAGCUAACGCGUUAAGUCGACCGCCUGGGGAGUACGGCCGCAAGGUUAAAACUCAAAUGAAUUGACGGGGGCCCGCACAAGCGGUGGAGCAUGUGGUUUAAUUCGAUGCAACGCGAAGAACCUUACCUGGUCUUGACAUCCACGGAAGUUUUCAGAGAUGAGAAUGUGCCUUCGGGAACCGUGAGACAGGUGCUGCAUGGCUGUCGUCAGCUCGUGUUGUGAAAUGUUGGGUUAAGUCCCGCAACGAGCGCAACCCUUAUCCUUUGUUGCCAGCGGUCCGGCCGGGAACUCAAAGGAGACUGCCAGUGAUAAACUGGAGGAAGGUGGGGAUGACGUCAGGUCAUCAUGGCCCUUACGACCAGGGCUACACACGUGCUACAAUGGCGCAUACAAAGAGAAGCGACCUCGCGAGAGCAAGCGGACCUCAUAAAGUGCGUCGUAGUCCGGAUUGGAGUCUGCAACUCGACUCCAUGAAGUCGGAGUCGCUAGUAAUCGUGGAUCAGAAUGCCACGGUGAAUACGUUCCCGGGCCUUGUACACACCGCCCGUCACACCAUGGGAGUGGGUUGCAAAAGAAGUAGGUAGCUUAACCUUCGGGAGGGCGCUUACCACUUUGUGAUUCAUGACUGGGGUGAAGUCGAAACAAGGUAACCGUAGGGGAACCUGCGGUUG
rnacentral:rRNA from 1 species